rnacentral:rRNA from 1 species
ACGCACGCUGGCGGCAUGCCUAACACAUGCAAGUCGAACGAGACCUUCGGGUCUAGUGGCGCACGGGUGCGUAACGCGUGGGAACCUGCCUUUAGGUUCGGAAUAACUCAGAGAAAUUUGAGCUAAUACCGGAUGAUGUCUUCGGACCAAAGAUUUAUCGCCUUUAGAUGGGCCCGCGUUGGAUUAGCUAGUUGGUGGGGUAAAGGCCUACCAAGGCGACGAUCCAUAGCUGGUCUGAGAGGAUGAUCAGCCACACUGGGACUGAGACACGGCCCAGACUCCUACGGGAGGCAGCAGUGGGGAAUAUUGGAGAAUGGGCGAAAGCCUGAUCCAGCAAUGCCGCGUGAGUGAUGAAGGCCUUAGGGUUGUAAAGCUCUUUUACCCGAGAUGAUAAUGACAGUAUCGGGAGAAUAAGCUCCGGCUAACUCCGUG